rnacentral:sRNA from 1 species
AAGUUUAAGGUUGGCGCUGCAAGGUGCCACGGCACACGAAACCGCGUUGGUUUGCUCAGGUCGGUUUCGUGUGCUGUAUUUUUUACGCAUUAUUUUAUUUGGUAUCGCAUGAAUCCCAUCGUAAUUAAUCGGCUUCAACGGAAGCUGGGCUACACUUUUCAUC